GUGAUGUGUAAAAGGGAGAAGGUUAGCACUCUCUUUGCUUGACAAGGAUAGAAGAGGGUCUCAGUCCUGACAACACAUAUAUGGAUAAGGCAUUGCCACCUACUUUGUGGCAUCUAACCAUCAUGUUUA